CGUGUAGGCGGUUUGGCAAGUCAGAUGUGAAAGCCCUGGGCUCAACUUAGGAAGUGCAUUUGAAACUGCCAUUCUAGAGUAUGGGAGAGGAGAGUGGAAUUCCCAGUGUAGAGGUGAAAUUCGUAGAUAUUGGGAGGAACACCCGUGGCGAAGGCGACUCUCUGGACCAAUACUGACGCUGAGACGCGAAAGCGUGGGAGCAAACA
rnacentral:rRNA from 1 species